GCCAGAUGAGCGCUCUCUGUUAUUAUUAUUGACUGUUCCAUACAAAGGAAACGUGAUCAAUGCCAGAAGUGGACACAUUAUGGGUUGCCCUGAACGAACGCAAGACAGCGGCCCAUCUGUAACCUACACGGUGGUCCUCUGAGGCCCGCUGGAGGAGAAACAGGUUCAGAGAGGGUAAGAAACCAGAUCAAGGCCACACAGCCAAGAAUCCAAACCCAGCUGUCUGUCCGCAGAGUCCAGGCUUUAUGGACUAUGGAGAGCAUGCAAUGGGACAAUGGACAUGGAAGCUCUCUGGGGACAAGGACAAAGCAGCAUACAGAUGUGAGAAGCCGGACCAGGGAAAAUGCACCCACCUUCCUCAACCAGCAAAUAUGCUGCACCCCUGUGUUCAGCUGGGCUCAUGACACAGGGUCCUUUGCCCGCCAAUUAUUUGGGACUUAAUCCCCUAUGGGUCACAGUCUUUCCUCUCCUAACAUAAGGCUGGGAAGGUGCCAGACAACUCACAAAUGUUUGCUGAAUGAAUAAAGGGGCCCGAAAAAGUUUGCUUCCUUGUGAGACAAAUGGCUUCUCCUACAGGCCCCCGCAGCCACUCCACACCCAAUGUAACCCUAGACACGGCACCUGGGGUGAUGAAAACCCCGCGACCUCGACACGAGCCUGGAUUUCUGGGCCCCUCAUCUCAACCUUUAGUGCAUGGUUUUAAUUAUACCCAAGCAACUGGAAAAGGAACUGCAGGAAAGCCCCUAUUCGCCCUGGAACAAUCUGGAUGGUGGAAAACUGACCUGCCCUGUCCCAGGGGGCCGGAUGCCCUCUCCACAUCCAGCACGUGGGCUCCAAGACCCCCAUUCCCCACCCAACCUUCCAGCCCGGAGAGGCCCCCUCUCCACCAAGCACCACAGCGUUUUCUAUCUCACCCACUCAUUUUAAUGCUUCCCCAGCUCUCCCAACCGGAUCCUAACCCCCUCCACCUCUAACCUGAGCCCUGCACCUCGGGCCCGCCCAGCAACCCCGCUCUCCUACCCAAAGGGACCCUGAUCAAUGGCAGGCCUGACUGCCAUCUCUCUGCAGAGAGGGGGUUUUCCUUUUCUCUUUCUUUCUUUCUUUUUUCUAAUAAGUGGUUUGUGCCUCUGAAAGUCAAAACAACACCCAUGGCGGCUCCUUUCUUGCCCUGGCGGCUGCAAAGCUUAAAACUCCGCCAACCCAACUUCUGUUUCUCGUUCGGGGGGCAUGCCGGCGCCGCGGGUCUGCCGCCAAGCAGCCCCCUUACGAUCCGUGCACUCUUCUGGGUGUAGGCGACACCUCAAGAACAAGACGGGACAAAACACGAAAGAGCCUUGCCCCAUCCCAAAACAGCCCUGGGCUCCUCCAAGUUUCCAUCAAAAGACCCGUCCAGGAUCUGUUUAGCCGCCAGGCAGGGGAAGGAAAGGGGAAUCAGAAAGCACGGACGCCGC
rnacentral:lncRNA from 1 species